CAAAGGUACGUGACGCAGUAGUAAUUUGUGAAUUUUUAAGUUGGCUGGAAAAUGAGGUCAAGCUUAAGACGAAAAACCUUACAGAACUUUCCAGCGAGGAAAAACUUUUGCAAUUGAGAAAAACCCAGGAAAACUACAUAAGUCCCAGUUUUGCAACAAUCUCUGGAUUUGGACGAAACAGUGCCAUUAUACACUAUAAGUAAGCCUUGAAAU